rnacentral:rRNA from 1 species
UACGUAGGGGGCAAGCGUUGUCCGGAAUCAUUGGGCGUAAAGAGCGUGUAGGCGGCUCGAUAAGUCUGCUGUGAAAGUCCAGGGCUCAACCCUGGAAGGCCGGUGGAAACUGUCGGGCUAGAGUCCGGAAGAGGCGAGUGGAAUUCCCGGUGUAGCGGUGGAAUGCGUAGAGAUCCGGAAGAACACCAGUGGCGAAGGCGGCCCGCUGGGCAGUGGCUGACGCUGAAGCGCGACAGCGUGGGGAGCAAACAGG